UACGUAGGGUGCGAGCGUUACUCGGACUUACUGGGCGUAAAGCGUGCGCAGGCGGUUGUGCAAGACAGAUGUGAAAUCCCCGGGCUCAACCUGGGAAUUGCAUUUGUGACUGCACGGCUAGAGUGUGUCAGAGGGGGGUAGAAUUCCACGUGUAGCAGUGAAAUGCGUAGAUAUGUGGAGGAAUACCGAUGGCGAAGGCAGCCCCCUGGGAUAACACUGACGCUCAUGCACGAAAGCGUGGGGAGCAAACAGG
rnacentral:rRNA from 1 species